ensembl:misc_RNA Y_RNA Y RNA
GGCUGGUCCGAUGGUAGUGGGUUAUCAGAACUUAUUAACAUUAGCGUCACUAAAGCUGGUAUACAACCCCCACUGCUAAAUUUGACUGGCUAAAA